CCCGCGUGAGGAAGAAAGCUUACGGGUUGUAAACUCCUUUUCUCAGAGAAGAAAAAAUGACGGUAUCUGAGGAAUAAGCAUCGGCUAACUCUGUGCCAGCAGCCGCGGUAAUACAGAGGAUGCAAGCGUUAUCCGGAAUGAUUGGGCGUAAAGCGUCUGUAGGUUGUUUAUUAAGUCCGCUGUUAAAUCCCACGGCUUAACCAUGGACAGGCGGCGGAAACUAUUAAACUAGAGUACGGUAGGGGCAGAGGGAAUUUCCGGUGGAGCGGUGAAAUGCGUAGAUAUCGGAAAGAACACCCAAGACGAAGGCACUUUGCUGGGCCGAAACUGACACUGAGAGACGAAAGCUAGGGGAGCAAAUGGGAUUAGAUACCCCAGUAGUCCUAGCCGUAAACGAUGGAUACUGAGCGCUGCGCGUAUCAACCCGUGCAGUGCUUUAGCUAACGCGUUAAGUAUCCCGCCUGGGGAGUACGCUCGAAAGAGUGAAACUCAAAGGAAUUGACGGGGGCCCGCACAAGCGGUGGAGCAUGUGGUUUAAUUCGAUGCAACGCGAAGAACCUUACCAGGGCUUGACAUGCCACGAAUCUUUUUGAAAGAAGAGAGUGCCUUUAGGAACGUGGACACAGGUGGUGCAUGGCCGUCGUCAGCUCGUGUCGUGAGAUGUUGGGUUAAGUCCCGCAACGAGCGCAACCCUUGUAUCUAGUUGCCAUUCAAUUUAUUGGAACCCUAUCCCCAUGAAGCGAAUGCCUGGU
rnacentral:rRNA from 1 species